AGUGAACGCUGGCGGUAGGCCUAACACAUGCAAGUCGAACGGCAGCACAGUAAGAGCUUGCUCUUACGGGUGGCGAGUGGCGGACGGGUGAGGAAUACAUAGGAAUCUACUUUUUCGUGGGGGAUAACGUAGGGAAACUUACGCUAAUACCGCAUACGAGCUACGGGUGAAAGCAGGGGAUCUUCGGACCUUGCGUGAUUGAAUGAGCCGAUGUCGGAUUAGAUAGGUGGCGGGGUAAAGGCCCACCAAGGCGACGGUUCGUAGCUGGCCUGAGAAGAUGGGUCAGCACCACGGGACUGGGACACGGUCCAGACCUCCACGGGGGGCAGCAGGGGGGAAAUUUUGGCCAUGGGGGGAAGCCUUGCUCAGCCCAGCCGCCUGGGUUGAGAAGGGCUUUGGGUUUUUAAAGCCCUUUUGUUGGGAAGAAAAACCGGCAGGUUAAUCCCCCGCUGUUCGACGGUACCCAAAGAAUAAGCACCGGCUAACUUCGUG
rnacentral:rRNA from 1 species